UACGUAGGGUGCAAGCGUUUGUCCGGAAUUAUUGGGCGUAAAGAGCUCGUAGGCGGUCUGUCGCGUCUGCUGUGAAAACUCAGGCUUAACCCUGAGCUUGCAGUGGGUACGGGCAGACUAGAGUGAUGUAGGGGAGACUGGAAUUCCUGGUGUAGCGGUGAAAUGCGCAGAUAUCAGGAGGAACACCGAUGGCGAAGGCAGGUCUCUGGGCAUUAACUGACGCUGAGGAGCGAAAGCGUGGGGAGCGAACAGG
rnacentral:rRNA from 1 species